GAUGAACGCUGGCGGCGUGCCUAAUACAUGCAAGUCGAGCGAACAGAUGAGGAGCUUGCUCCUCUGACGUUAGCGGCGGACGGGUGAGUAACACGUGGAUAACCUACCUAUAAGACUGGGAUAACUUCGGGAAACCGGAGCUAAUACCGGAUAAUAUAUUGAACCGCAUGGUUCAAUAGUGAAAGACGGUUUUGCUGUCACUUAUAGAUGGAUCCGCGCCGCAUUAGCUAGUUGGUAAGGUAACGGCUUACCAAGGCAACGAUGCGUAGCCGACCUGAGAGGGUGAUCGGCCACACUGGAACUGAGACACGGACCAGACUCCUACGGGAGGCAGCAGUAGGGAAUCUUCCGCAAUGGGCGAAAGCCUGACGGAGCAACGCCGCGUGAGUGAUGAAGGUCUUCGGAUCGUAAAACUCUGUUAUUAGGGAAGAACAAAUGUUUAAGUAACUAUGCACGUCUUGACGGUACCUAAUCAGAAAGCCACGGCUAACUACGUG
rnacentral:rRNA from 1 species